GCCACCUCCCAUCCGUGUCUAUUGUACCCUGUUGCUUCGGCGGGCCCGCCGCUUGUCGGCCGCCGGGGGGGCGCCUCUGCCCCCCGGGCCCGUGCCCGCCGGAGACCCCAACACGAACACUGUCUGAAAGCGUGCAGUCUGAGUUGAUUGAAUGCAAUCAGUUAAAACUUUCAACAAUGGAUCUCUUGGUUCCGGCAUCGAUGAAGAACGCAGCGAAAUGCGAUAACUAAUGUGAAUUGCAGAAUUCAGUGAAUCAUCGAGUCUUUGAACGCACAUUGCGCCCCCUGGUAUUCCGGGGGGCAUGCCUGUCCGAGCGUCAUUGCUGCCCUCAAGCCCGGCUUGUGUGUUGGGUCGCCGUCCCCCUCUCCGGGGGGACGGGCCCGAAAGGCAGCGGCGGCACCGCGUCCGAUCCUCGAGCGUAUGGGGCUUUGUCACAUGCUCUGUAGGAUUGGCCGGCGCCUGCCGACGUUUUCCAACCAUUCUUUCCAGGUUGACCUCGGAUCAGGUAGGGAUACCCGCUGAACUUAAGCAUAUCAAUAAGCGGA
rnacentral:rRNA from 1 species